rnacentral:lncRNA from 1 species
UGUUAACAGCUGCUUGAAGUGUGAACUAACUAAUUAAUUACUUUCUAGGUUGCGUUGCUGUAGUAUUGAUACUUCAACUAUAAAAUGUUGCAUGAAAUAGUAUAAGUUACUGCACAUUUAUUGUGUCAUAAACCAAAUGACGUGUAACUGUAAACUGUUAAAUAUGAAGAACAACGACUUAACGUGGAAUUGACGAUAUGGAAAUUAUAUUAAUUGUAAACGAUUUAACAAAAUAUACAGUAUAAGAGAAAAAGACUUAGAAAUUCAAUAGAUAAUUUCGUCAAAAAAAAAAAAUCAAUAGAUAAC